CCUGGGUUCAAUCCCUGGGUUGGGAAGAUAUCCUGGAGAAGGGAAAGGCUUCCCACUCCAGUAUUCUGGCCUGGAGGAUUCUGUGGACUACAAUCCAUGGGGUUGCAAAGAGGUGGACACGACUGAGCGACUUUUGCUUUCUCUUUCAGGCCCGAUCUCAGACCCACAGAGUCAGAAUCUGAAUUGUAACAGGACUCUCAGGUGAAGCAUAUGCACGUUUAAGUCUGAGAAACACUGUUCUAAAUAUCCUGUUGAAUAAUAUGUUGAAGAGCACAGAGUCACAGAAAAUGAAGUUUUGUUUCUGGUUUUAUUUUAUAAAAAUGAAGUUUUAUUUAUUUAUUUCUAACUACAGAUUCAUUUCACUGGUCUAUUCAUUGAUCAACAUGACACAUAGUGAUCGAUGCCCGUGGGAGCAGGAAAGCAAAAUAACUGAGAUAUCCAAUGCCAUGAAUAAAGCCAACUGAUGUUAUCAUGCUGCUGCAGGGGCAGUAAGAAAGCUGAACGCACUUGCAGUAGCUUCCCUGACGUUGCUUAGUGAAGAAACCCUGUGCUCUGUAGCCUGGCAUCCUACAUAAUCAAGUCUCUGCCCUCCUGCCAGAUGUGACUCCCCUAAAAUGGCAGGCUGCUUCCACUAGGAUGGCUCUCCUCCUCCUCCUAAUGACCCUCGGCCUCUUUUUGAUUAUGUGCUCUUGCAUUUCUGGUUUUCUCUUCUCAGUCUGUUUUGUUGUUGUUCAGUCGCUCAGUCCUGUCCGACUUUUUUGCAACCCCAUGGACUGCAGCACACCAGGCCUCCCUGUCCAUUGCUAACUCCCAGAGUUUACUCAAACUCAUGUCCAUUGAGUCAGUGAUGCCAUCCAGCCAUCUCAUCCUCUGUUUUCCCCUUCUCCUCCUGCCCUCAAUCUUUCCCAGCAUCAGGGUCUUUUCCAGUGAGUCAGUUCUUUGCAUCAUGUGGCCAAAGUUUUGAAGCUUCAGCUUCAGCAUCCGUCCUUCCAAUGAAUGUUCAGGGUUGAUUUCCUUUAUGAUGGACUGGUUGGAUCUCCUUGCAGUCCAAGGGACUCUCAAGAGUCUUCUCCAACACCACAGUUCAAAAGCAUCAAUUCUUUGGUGCUCAGACUCCUUUAUGGUCCAACUCUCACAUCCGUACAUGACUACUGGAG
rnacentral:lncRNA from 1 species